rnacentral:rRNA from 1 species
GUAGUCCACGCCCUAAACGAUGUCGACUAGUUGUUGGGGGAGUCUGUCCCUCAGUAACGUAUCUAACGCGUGAAGUCGACCGCCUGGGGAGUACGGUCGCAAGAUUAAAACUCAAAGGAAUUGACGGGGACCCGCACAAGCGGUGGAUUAUGUGGAUUAAUUCGAUGCAACGCGAAGAACCUUACCUACCCUUGACAUGCCAGGAACCCUGCAGAGAUGCAGGGGUGCCCGAAAGGGAACCUGGACACAGGUGCUGCAUGGCUGUCGUCAGCUCGUGUCGUGAGAUGUUGGGUUAAGUCCCGCAACGAGCGCAACCCUUACCAUUAGUUGCUACAUUCAGUUGGGCACUCUAAUGGGACUGCCGGUGACAAACCGGAGGAAGGUGGGGAUGACGUCAAGUCCUCAUGGCCCCUAUGGGUAGGGCUUCACACGUAAUACAAUGGCGCAUACAGAGGGCUGCAAACCCGCGAGGGGGAGCCAAUCCCAAAAAGUGCGUCGUAGUCCGGAUUGUUCUCUGCAACUCGAGAGCAUGAAGUCGGAAUCGCUAGUAAUCGCGGAUCAGCAUGUCGCGGUGAAUA